AUAUAUAUAUAUAUAUAUAUAUAUAUAUAUAUAUAUAUAUAUAUAUACAUAUAUAUAUAUAUAUAUAUAUAUAUAUAUAUAUGUAUAUAUAAUCUGACAAUACAUAUAAUAUUGUCCAUAUUAUAUUAACAUUACCACAUUACUAACUAAUCUUGAAAUGACUGUUCAGUACAGAAAUGAAGCCCAACUAUCAUGUUUUACAGUCCUGUGGUCUCAACUAAUCAAAGUGAUGUCAUGACAAAAAUGAAUGACCAACAAAACAUUUUUUCUCCUUCAUUUCUGUCACACAAAGCUGUUUGAAACAUUUUUCGCGGUUAGUAUCAUGGUUGCUAGGCAACCUGAACAGCGCGACGAAGGCUAGACCGUCCCAUUUCACAAGCCUCUCACUUCCGCACUUCCCGUACUUGUAGUACGCACCGUACGUAGUACGCGUAGUGUGCGUACUUCAAGCGUGCAGACACGGGCCGUUUAUCAAUGCCCAAGUACGCGACUACGUACUCGCGUUCUCGGUGAGUACGUACUCGCCGAGAAGGCACGGGAGUACGUACCCGCCGAGAACGCGAGCACGGACUCGUGGGCCGUCUCUCAAUUCUCAAGUACGCGAGCACGGACUCGUGAUUUGUACCAGCGUACGUGAUGAUGUCACAGGUCCGGAGUUUUUACUGCCGUCCCCUCCUAAUUUAACUGUGUUCCAGAUGAUUGUUGACGGUCACAGGAGGGAGGAGAGGAGGAGCAAGGAGGUGGGCUGCCAGUGGGAGAGCCCCGAGGAGGACAGGAAGGAGGUGGGCUGUCAGAGCCAGGCGGUGGAGAGGAGGGACGCCGCCGUCCAGGUGGAUCUGCUGACUCAGCAGCUGAGCUGGAGACACUCAGGUGUUUCCUGGCACUGCGGCGCCAUCCGGGUGGAUGAACCAGCAGGGGGCAUUCUGCUGCAGCUCUGCAGGGGUCACACGUCACGCUGUGGGCCCUGCGCCACCGACCGCCCUGCCCUGCUACCCAGUGUGCCUCUGUUCUCCGAGCACGAGUCGUCUCCUUCAACCAGCAUGCCUCCCCUGACUCCUGUGGACGUCUCGGCUGCUCCUCCUGGACUCAUCGCUCCCCUGAGCCCGGGGCUGGCCGAAGACGAGGAGCAGGAAGAGGAGCAGGAGGUGCACGUACCUGAGGAGGAGCGACUCUGCUCUGAGAGCAUGGCAUUUAAAGAAAAGACGAAGAUGGAGGGGGGGAGGUGGCCUGAUGGAGGUGAAAGACAAAAGUCAUCACUGGCUGACAAAUCGACCAAUCACAUCGCAGGAAAACCACCCGGGAAGAGGAGGAGACUAAAGAUGAAACUUCUGGAGAAGGAUGAGGAGUCCCACACCAGCAAGCGAGGAGAGAAACAAACAACCUGGAUCCAAGAGAGGAAGAAGAACGAGGGGCAGGAGGAGGAGGAGAGGGGAGGGGAGGAGACCAUGAAAGAAGGGGGAAGAGUCAAAUCUGUCAUAAUGAAGACUGAGGAGGCGGAGUGUCAGAGACCGAGGAGGAGAAUGGUCGGUCCGACAGUCAGAUACCUGCUGGAGUCUGAGCAGCAGUCACAUGGGCCAACAGAGGCCAAUCACAGCAGAGCAAGCAGAGACGUGGGGAGGAGGAAGACGGGGAGGCCGAAGAAGGAGCAGAAGGAGCUGGAUGACAGCAGCACAAUGGAGUCCUCAGCAGACGGAGGAGCAGAGAGAUGGUGGAAGCUCUGCCAGGUGUGUGGUCUGAACUUCACCAGCCAGCCGUCUCUGGAUCUCCAUCUGUCCGUCCACAGACCGGCUUCGAGCUGCGCACAAGCUGCUGCUGACCAACAGCAAGAACAAACCAAUGACGCGAAGGGUGAUGCAGAGGAGAGGGAGGAGCCUCAGAGGCCAAGGAGGACAGUCUGCCAACCAAUCAGGUACCUACUGGAGUCAUCACAUGGUUCUGUAACAGCCAAUCAGACCAAUCGGGAGGCAGCUACCAAACCCACAAGAAGGAGAGGAAGAUCAAAAGAUGCUGUUGGGGGCAGGGCUUCAGAGGUGAUUGACAGGCCUGAGACUAAUGCUAAAGACACAGGUCACAUGGUCACAACAGGAGGAAGAGAGGAAGGAGAGGAGGAGCCUUACAGGCCAAAGAGGACGUUGGUUGGCCUCCUGGAGUCAGAGGAAACAUCAGGUGGUCUCAGAAUCUCCAAUCAGGACGCAGAAAACAAACCCACACAGUACAGGCGAAGAUCAAAAAAUGUUUUUGACUUCAAUGAGGCUGGGGGCGGGGCUUCAAAGAUGACUGACUGUUCUGAUACUGAAGAUAAAGAAAUGGGUCACACGGUCUCAACGGGAGGAAGACAGGAAGAGGAGGAGCCUCAGAGACCAGGAAAGACGGCGUCUGUCUUCCACCCGUCCGUCCACAGACCAAAGCGACUGUUCGGCUGUCACCUCUGCAACAGGAAGUUCAGCCGUGCCAGCAGACUGUUCCGGCACCAAUGUAAUCAGCACCACAGCAAUAUAGGUGGUCUCUGCGGCAAUGGAUGUGGGUCGGCCCUGAGCAACGCCCGAGCUCCUAAAAACAAACAGGAAAAACAGACCACCCAGGAUGACAAGGAGGAGCCUCAGAGGCCCAGGAAGCCCCUCUUCACAGCACCCACCGGGGCUCCUUAUUGGUCAAGAGACAUAAAUCGUGUGAGAAAAAGUCCCAGCUGGUUGGUCGACUACUGGACCCUGAACAAGAGGAGGAAUGGAAGGAGGGGGACGAAGAGGAGCAGAGUGGAGGAGGACGACGAGGAAAGGGAGGCGCAACAAGUCUGUGUGGAGAAGGAGGAGGGGCCUCAGAGGCCAAGGAGGACGACUGUUGGCCCACCAAUCAGGUACCUGCUGGAGUCAGAGGUGACAACACGGGGUUCUGGAAAAGCCAAUCAGACCAAUCAGAAGGCAGCUAACAAACACACAAGGAGAGGAAGAGCAAAAGACUCUGUUGGUGGCGGGGCUUCAAAGAUGACUGACUCUUCUGACAUUGAAGAUAAAGACACAGGUCACAUGGUCUCAAUGGGAGGAACACAGGAAGAGGAGCCUCAGAGACCAGGAACGACAGUCAGUCCACCAGUCAGGUACCUGCUGGAGUCGGAGGUAAUGUCACAUGAUUCUGGAACAGCCAAUCAGAAUGAUCAGGAGGCAGUUAUCAAACUCACAAGAAGGAGCGGAAGAUCAGAUGCUGUUGGCCUCUGUGAGGCUGGGGGCGGGGCUUCAGAGAUGAUUGACAGGCUUGACGCUAAAGAUAAAGACAGAAGUCACGUGGUUGUAAAGGGCAGAAGAAAGGAAGACGAGAAGAUGGAGGAGCCUCAGAGGCCGAGGAGGACGAUGGUCGGCCCACCAAUCAGGUACCUGCUGGAGUCAGAAGAGCUGUCAUGUGGUCAAAGAACAGCUAAUCAGGACACAGAAAACAAACCCACACACAGCAGACGGAGCCCAAAAAAGGCGUCUGUCCUCCACAGACCGAAGCGAGUGUUCGGCUGUCACAUCUGCAACAGAAAGUUCAGCCGUGCCAGCAGACUGUUCCUGCAUCAUUGCGAUCAGCACCGCAGCAUCUUAGACAGUCCCCACGGCAACAGAGUUGGCAUGGCCAUGAGCAGUGCUCGAGCUUCUGAUAGCAAACUGAAAGAAGGAACCCAGGGUAACGACGAGAAUGGGGAGGAGUCUCAGCGGCAGCGGAGGACUAGAGUUGGCCCACCAAUCAGAUACCUGCUGGAGUCAGAGGAGCCGUCACGUGGUCUUAGAGCAGCCAAUCAGAGUGCAGCAACCAAACCCACACAAAGGAAAGGAAGAAUGAAGGCUGGUGGCCUCACUAAGGCUGGGGGCGGGACUUCACAGAUAAUUGAUAGGUUUGAGGCUGCUGUUGCCACAGAGAGACAGACAGGUGUGCACAGACAGACUUACCUGGUUCACAGAGACCUGCAGGAUGGUCAGGUGACCAUCUCCCCCUGCUCUGUCACAAUGCAGCGCCUCCUCUGAUUGGCUGAUGACAUUCUUGUUAACCAUGUUUGUUGUAAUUUUUUGGUUUGGUUUCAGUGAUUUUAGGUGUGUGUCACACUCUUUGUUUUUGAACAAUAAAAUGAAAUAAUGUCCAGCUCCUUUUUUCUGUCCUGCUGUUCAUGGUUUCUAAUAAUGAGGUCAAAGGUCAGGCUGCA
ensembl:lncRNA